AUGAACAUUAUUGCUAAUUCCCUUUUUUCUUUUUUCUGUGCAAUAGGGUCAUACGAACAGGGCAUCCCCUGCAAGGCUCUUCAAGUUGAACAAGGUGUUGUUCCUAACAAAAAGGGUGUCAUCAUUGCAAAAGAAUUUACUGGCAUUCUGGACCUUGCAGCGAGUAGCAUGCCUGGAGAUCUUGGCCAAUGGAUAAUAAAGCAUUAUAACCCUGAGAUUUCGUAGAUAGUCAUUGCAGAAAGGGGGAAGAUUCUUAUAGAUGCAGCAAGUGUCCGUAGGAUAUGGGGUUUGGCAAAUAGAGGGAGGAAGGUGUGCUUUGAUAAUCAGCCUGAAAUCACAAAGGCAAUGUACAGUAUUUACAAUAUCACCUCCAAGAACUCCCAACUCUAA
rnacentral:rRNA from 1 species